rnacentral:tRNA from 1 species
CAGGAAAUAGUUUAAUUAAAAUUUUAAUUUUGGAGAUUAAGGAUAAGAUAUUUAUCUUUUUCCUGA